ensembl:lncRNA
CAAGUCUUUGUGCACCUCGGUCAAACCCAGAUAUGACUGAGGAUGGGAGAAAGGGCACUACAAAUCAGAAGUAUAAAUGAAACUAUGAAGACUGGGAAGUGUCCAUGGGUUGAUCCCUUUGUGAAUUACAUGGAGCUGACAGGGCUGAAACCCACAAUGACCCAGAUGAGGAUUGAAGCUUGUGCUGAAAGAGUGGCUGCCGCCCCAAACAUGUUGUCUGCUGUGUUUACCAUACAACCAAAUCACUAAAGUAUGUAUACUCUGUGUGAGAUGUCAGCAAAGAAAAACUUGCUGGGGACAGAGACUUCAGCCAACUCAACACAUAGAAACAGAGACAUAAUUAUUACAAAAGGCCUCUGAAUAUCCCCAGAUAGCUCAAGGUAUGAAUGAAUGGU